AUUGAACGCUGGCGGCAGGCCUAACACAUGCAAGUCGAGCGGAUGAAGGGAGCUUGCUCCUGGAUUCAGCGGCGGACAGGUGAGUAAUGCCUAGGAAUCUGCCUGGUAGUGGGGGAUAACGUCCGGAAACGGGCGCUAAUACCGCAUACGUCCUGAGGGAGAAAGUGGGGGAUCUUCGGACCUCACGCUAUCAGAUGAGCCUAGGUCGGAUUAGCUAGUUGGUGGGGUAAAGGCCUACCAAGGCGACGAUCCGUAACUGGUCUGUGAGGAUGAUCAGUCACACUGGAACUGAGACACGGUCCAGACUCCUACGGGAGGCAGCAGUGGGGAAUAUUGGACAAUGGGCGAAAGCCUGAUCCAGCCAUGCCGCGUGUGUGAAGAAGGUCUUCGGAUUGUAAAGCACUUUAAGUUGGGAGGAAGGGCAGUAAGUUAAUACCUUGCUGUUUUGACGUUACCAACAGAAUAAGCACCGGCUAACUUCGUG
rnacentral:rRNA from 1 species